rnacentral:ncRNA from 1 species
CACUAUGUUGUGCCCGUCGGUGCCGAUCUUGCGAUCGGCUGAAAAGGGAAGUCGGUAGGGACGCGACCGCGAGCACUCGCGGCGGGGUCCGAAGCCGGCGCUGCCCCGCAGCGGUAUGGGAAACGAACGGGUCAUGGCACUGGGCGGUAUGCCUGGGAAGCGACCCCGGUAGGAGGAACGAGAAGCGGGCGAAGAAAAGUGAGAACCGGGUCACCCCGUAGCGCUCACUUCUCUUUGCCCGUUUCUCGCUCCGAGUCCCGAGCCCGAAGACCUGCCGACAGCCGCGCGUCGCA